rnacentral:rRNA from 1 species
GACGAACGCUGGCGGCGUGCUUAACACAUGCAAGUCGAACGGAAAGGCCCCUUUGGGGGUACUCGAGUGGCGAACGGGUGAGUAACACGUGAGUAACCUGCCCUUUACUUCGGGAUAACUUCAGGAAACUGGGGCUAAUACCGGAUAGGAAUCCUUGCUGCAUGGUGGGGGUUGGAAAGCUUCGGCGGUUUUGGAUGGACUCGCGGCUUAUCAGCUUGUUGGUGGGGUAGUGGCUUACCAAGGCUUUGACGGGUAGCCGGCCUGAGAGGGCGACCGGCCACAUUGGGACUGAGAUACGGCCCAGACGCGUACGGGAGGCAGCAGUGGGGAAUAUUGCACAAUGGGCGGAAGCCUGAUGCAGCAACGCCGCGUGCGGGAUGACGGCCUUCGGGUUGUAAACCGCUUUCAGCAGGGGCGAAGCUUGUGGUGACGGUACCUGCAGAAGAAGCACCGGCUAACUACGUG